rnacentral:rRNA from 1 species
UACGUAGGGGGCGAGCGUUGUCCGGAGUUACUGGGCGCAAAGCGCACGCAGGCGGUCUGUUAAGUUUGGAGUGACAGUUGGUGGCUCAACCACCAAAGUGCUUUGAAAACUGAUAGACUUGAGGGCUUCAGAGGGACACGGAAUUCCGGGUGGAGUGGUGAAAUGCGUAGAGAUCCGGAGGAACACCAAAGGCGAAGGCAGUGUCCUGGGGAGUACCUGACGCUCAGGUGCGAAAGCCAGGGGAGCGAACGGG